rnacentral:sRNA from 1 species
GCCGGGCAUGGUGGUGCACCCUGUAAUCCCAGCUGCGUGGGAGGCUGAGGCUGGAGGAUCUUGAGUUCAAAGGCACCCUCAGAAAUGUAGUGAGUCCCUAAGCAACUUAGCAAGACCCUGUCUCUA